UAAAGGAUAUAAGUGCAGAACUCCCAAGAUUUACUUCCUUCCUGAUCUGUCCAGCCAGGAUACCUGAGGUAUUUUGGGCUUUCUGAAAUUAAAAGCUCUUUGAUUUCCUUACAAGGAAAGUAGAGAAGCCGUAUUACAUUCUUAAUAAGAUUGUAUUGUUGAAAACCUGUACUUAAUAACAAGUGAUAAUAUAACUGGAAGAAUUCACUUCCCUUCAAUAGAAAUCAUGCAAAAUCCAUCUGCUGAAGGAAACUACUCUAUUGCUCUCUCCAGAAGAAAACCUUGUCUUUGAUAUUGAAGUGUUAUGAAGGAAUGAAAAAAUCUGUAAAAUGACA
rnacentral:lncRNA from 1 species